GUAAGGAAUAUUGGUCAAUGGACGCAAGUCUGAACCAGCCAUGCCGCGUGAAGGAUGAAGGUACUCUGGAUUGUAAACUUCUUUUAUCUGGGACGAAAACGGGAUUUUUAUCUCAAUUGACGGUACCAGAGGAAUAAGCACCGGCUAACUCCGUGCCAGCAGCCGCGGUAAUACGGAGGGUGCGAGCGUUAUCCGGAUUUACUGGGUUUAAAGGGUGCGUAGGUGGGCUUAUAAGUCAGUGGUGAAAUCUCCGAGCUUAACUUGGAAACGGCCGUUGAUACUAUAGGUCUGGAAUUAUCUGGAGGUAAGCGGAAUAUGUCAUGUAGCGGUGAAAUGCUGAGAUAUGACAUAGAACACCAAUUGCGAAGGCAGCUUACUACAUAUAAAUUGACGCUGAGGCACGAAAGCGUGGGGAUCAAACA
rnacentral:rRNA from 1 species